rnacentral:misc_RNA from 1 species
AAGUCGUAACAAGGUUUCCGUAGGUGAACCUGCGGAAGGAUCAUUAACAAAUUCAAUCUAUAUUUUAUACCUGUGAACCGGGGGACGAGUUGGGCCGCAAGGUCUGCCUCUGAACUCAAGAAACUCUUGAUAACCUUUAUUAUGUCAUUCGGAGAGGUCGAGGGGAAGAGGGGGAGGGAGAGGUACGUUCAUUCAUGCCUUUCUCGCUCUUCUUGACUCCUCGUCUGAUUCGCAAAUAUGUUAUUACAACUUUUAACAAUGGAUCUCUUGGCUCUC